GAAUUUAAUCCCGAGUCCACCUUCCUCUGCUGGAUGAAACAUUGAUGAUUGUAUUCUUCCUCCUCAGAAAAAACACAGACGGAACUGACAGGAAAUGGUUUUAUAACUACAACUUUUGCUUUACACUCGGAAAACUUCCCAUACAAGCCUGAUUGGUGGACUGCUGCAGAGAUGGUUGUCCUUCUUGAAUGCUGUAGCUCUGACAAAAUGACCAUCGGGUUCUUUGGUCACCUCCCUGACUCGCCUAAGAUGAAUGCAGCAAUGUGCGGAGACAUCCAGGAUGAAAACCAAGGCUUCUCAUCCAACCUGAUGGAGCUUGAGAGGCGCUGCAAAGAGGAAAGUGCAAAAGUGCCUAAAAAUAGACGAGAGGAAACUGCAAAGAAAUCACCUUUGAGAAAGUGCUGCGCUCCAUCCAAGCACUCUGGGGAAAGUUCAUUGUCACCAAAGGAUCCCAGCAGCUCGCUGACGAUGAUGUCCGCCUUCUCGGGAGCCACCCAAUCGCGCAUGUCG